AAAAAAAAAAAAAAACCAAAACAAUAAUCUUUUAAGGAGUGAAGUUUGCAACUGUGAUUUGAUUUCAGAAUUAGUUGAUAAGAUAUAGUAGCAUAAAGAAAAACGUGUUCUCGUUCCCAAAUGUAAAUGAGCAUUUGCAUUUUUUCUGUAAAAGAGUAAAUGGAAUUUUCAGUCAAUUUAGUUCAUUAAGAUUGUUAGACAAGUUGUUGAAUAUUUCUAUGUUUCUUGUGCCAGUGUGGUAUGAUUUGAGGAAGGGUUAUAGAACUCGUAGGUAAUAAGCAAAUUGUUUUGUUUGCAAAAGUGAUGCCUAUUUGGAGGUGAAAAAACAGGAGUAUUUUUCACCUUUUUAAAAUGCCUAAACUUUUUGAAUUGUAAUGAGUCCAGAAGUUUGAGCAUACAGGAAAGGAGCAAUGUUAUAAUUUUCAAGAAAAGUUGGUUAUGGGUUUCUUUGUUGUUUAUUUGUGUAUACUUGCUAAUGAGCGACCUAGACAGCAUUGGACUUGUUAGCUAAGAUACUUUCUCUUUUGCCUUUUUGAGUCCCAGAUUUCCAACUCAUCAAUGAUAUUUGUAAUUCCGUAAUCUUUUUAACAUCAACUGUUUCGGUAGAUGUUUGUUACAAAAGCUACUAUUCCUUUAAGUAAAUUGAGCUAGAAUGUUUAGAUACAGGUUUGAUGAUUGUUGCAAGUUAUUUUGCGGUCGCCUGGACGAAACUCUUCACCGAAGCGGGAAAAAAUGAGGAGUCGCCACUCUAAUUUUAAGGAAAUUAAAGAAAAUCAUUUUGUGAAAAUAAAUUAAAAGGAAACCACUUCAAAAGAGAACAAAAAUUCUAGGUUCGGGGUCCGUAUACGGGUGGGGAAGGUGUUAGGCACCCCACCUCGUCCCUUA
rnacentral:misc_RNA from 1 species